ncrna:Apis mellifera (honey bee) microRNA ame-mir-34 precursor
GCAUGUUGGCAGUGUUGUUAGCUGGUUGUGUGGCUACAUUGUAUAUACGACCGCUAUCGGCACUGCAAUUAUGA